CAUGGCCGUUCUUAGUGGGUGGAGUGAUUUGUCUGGUUAAUUCCGUAAACGAACGAGACCGCCGCCUGCUAAAUAGUUCUACUAAUGGUUUUUCAUUGGUAAGAGCUUCUUAGAGGGACGUUCAUUCUACAAGAUGAAGGAAGAUGGCGGCAAUAACAGGUCUGCGAUGCCCUUAGAUGUCCUGGGCCGCACGCGCGUUACACUGAUGCACUCAACGAGCAUAUAACCUUGGCCGAGAGGCCUGGGUAAUCUUGUUAACAUGCAUCGUGAUAGGGAUAGAUUAUUGCAAUUUUUAAUCUUGAACGAGGAAUUCCUAGUAAUCGCGGUUCAUCAAACCGCAAUGAUUACGUCCCUGCCCUUUGUACACACCGCCCGUCGCACCUACCGAUUGAAUGGUCCGGUGAGGACUCGGGAUUGUGGUUUGGCUCCUUCAUUGGGGCCUGACCGCGAGAACUUGUCCGAACCUUAUCAUUUAGAGGAAGGUGAAGUCGUAACAAGGUAGCCGU
rnacentral:rRNA from 1 species